UAUGACACGCCCCUCCAAGUCACAAGUUGAUUCUGGGAAAUAUGAGAACGUUUAGAAACUGAAGUGAAAUUAACAGCUCAGAGGAACAUGGUUUUAUCGGGAUUUUAGAAGGUUUUGGUUUAAUAUUCAGUUUGGUACAGGGAAUAUUUCAGCAUGGCAAAUGUUUUUGAGCAGAAAAAAUCAACAAAAGUGACGUUGGAUGAUACAACGGCGCUAUCGUGCUCCAUUGAAACGGCACAGAAGAAGGCAGAUCAUAUCGAAUAUAUCAUUCGAGUUCAGCGUGGACCUUUGAAAGACAACUCGUGGCAGAUCACUAAGCGAUACAGUGAUUUCGAGAAACUUGAUGCUCAACUUAAAUCUUCAAACGUUGAUCUUCCCCUUCCUCCAAAAAAAGUGUUCGGAAACUUUGACAGAGAAUUUAUAGCCGAAAGACAAAAUGGCUUACAGAAUUAUUUGCAAGCCAUCACUUGCAUCCCUGUUGUUGCCAACAGCAUAAUGGUGAAAAAAUUCUUAGAUGCCAAUAACUAUUCAUCAAACUUUCUCGAACUUGCUCUUCAACAUGUGUCCAUGAUAUUCCGGUCUGAACCCAACUGGGAUGUUGUGGAACCUUUUCCUGACAUAGGUUGGAGAAUACGGAAGCACUUCAUACUCAUCAAGCCCCUUGCUCAACCCAAAGUCAGACAAAUGCUUUCAUGGAUGGAGUUUGGACCUGACAUGUACCUACCAGUAAAAGAACUGACAGCCAUCAUGAAAGUUCUUCCUAUGAUAAAGCAUCCCUACAUAUAUCCAUGCCACUUUACAGCAGCCAAUGAGAAUGGAGGGAUGGUUAUCAGGGAUUACUAUGAGCCCGGAACUUUGAGAGACUACCUGUGCAAAUGUAAGCCCAAGGGCAAUUAUAUGACCAAAUAUGGAAAUCCAAAGAAACGGAUGCCACUGGACAUUGGCGCUGUGAAAACAUUUGGGAGACAGAUUUUGGAAGCUUUGAAGUUUUUACACGAUAAAGGUUUCCCAUAUGGUCACUUGCAUGCUGGCAACAUACUGGUCAUCAAUUCCUGCUGUCAACUCCUGGACAUUGAGAACAGCAUCAUGGGUCUGCCAGGCUACUAUAGGGCUUUCUAUACGCAAGUCAAGAAAGUACAGAGCCUGGAGACCAUUGAUGUUUACUGUUUUGGUCAAGUCCUCUACGAGAUGUCCUUUGGCUCUCAGAUCAACGCACCAACCUGUGAUCAAUUUCCCCCAGAGUGUCCCGCACAAAUCAGAUCGGUGUUGGAAUCAAUACUGACCACAGAAGCUUGUAAGAAUGGUCUACCAUCUGUGGCGGAUCUUUUAUCUCACCCCUUGUUCUGUGAUGUGUCUCUCCCACCCCCCGUGGCAAAACCUGUACUAAAAAUACCCAGUAAACUCAAAGAGUUUGUGAAAAGUGCCAAAGAGGAGAUUGAAAGUCGACUGAAGAGUGACCAGAAACUGCUGAAGCAAGUUCUCAGAAUAUCCAAAGCCAAAGAGUUCCACAUGUCAGAAGAGGAAAAGAAGAAGCGAAGGAAGUCACGAAAGAAAGCCCUGGAGAACGGAGUGUCUGACUCAGCGUCUAGCACCUCGGGAACACCAGCGGAGGCACCAGUGACACCAGCGCCUGGAGCAUCGAGUUGAGGUCUCUUCUGUCGUGACACCCCAACCUCGACAGUGAUCCCCCUUGGUCAUUAGGUCCACCCACCGGUGCCCCAACCCCACCACCACCACCCUCCGCC
rnacentral:misc_RNA from 1 species